CCUUUUGGAGCCAGCCGCCUAAGGUGGGACAGAUGAUUGGGGUGAAGUCGUAACAAGGUAGCCGUAUCGGAAGGUGCGGCUGGAUCACCUCCUUU
rnacentral:rRNA from 1 species